CAGGGAUCUUUGUGCCGUGAAGCGAGAGCUUGAUCUCUGGCUAUUUUGUUCUGUUCUUGGUAUAAUGCAGUACACCGUUCCCAGCCAAAGCCCUGUGUUGUCUGGGCAACUCCCGUUGCCAUAGCAAUGAAAUUCUUUUGCGGGAGCAGGGUGGAUGCUAAUUGUAGCCAUUUGUUGUUCCUUCUGUCGAUCCCUUAACUAGCACAGUUGUAGAGCAGCCAGAGACUCUGGGUGAACAGCACUGAGUGCCCCCAAAAGCAUCGCUGCUGAAGGCAACCGGCUGCUCUGCUUAAAAAAUCAUUUGAGCAGCCAACAGUGCUGACAGUGCCACUAUGUGGGCAGAAGCACAGCUUGACUCGGGCCCUGACAACUGUUGAUCUGGGACUUAGGGGGAAAGAGAAGACUGUUUAAAACCUGUUGAGAAGGUACUGAUGACAUGGAGAUUAAUUUGACACCAGUCCCUCAGAGGUAGGUGCCAGGCAUAUCAUAACAACUGUGUAUCCAGGCUAAACUCAGUACUGGAAUGCCCAGAGGCUGUAGGAGACAUAUCAAUGGCUCUUCGUUUAUUUCCAUCUGAAACUACAUCACUGUGGCCUAAGAAAAUCAGAAAGUGCAGUUGACAGAAGGGUCACGUUCACACUACAAUAUCAAUUGAACUCAACGAGGACUCCAGUCGCCAAGGAGCUUAAUUAUAAUCUAGGACACUCAUACGUCUACAGAGAGGAUCAAGGCAGUUUGAGAAGAAGGAAGCCUGUAAUGUAGAAAGCAACAGAAAAAAGGAAAUGGAACUUCUUGGCUCUGUUCUAAAACGAAUCUGUUCCCGAAGUUGAAGCCCUGCUGGCAAGAUUACGAGCUUAUAAAUUAAACUGGUAAAAAAUGAUUAAGCCAAAUAUAAAGCCAUGCUCUAAGCUAUAACACUUGAAAAAAUGCUUUAUAUAAGUGACUUUAUAUAGUUUAAAUUAUGAUAUAUAUUAGAAAAAUAAAGCUAACUACAUGAUUGCAAUGCUUUUUUCUAUGUACUUGAGGAUUUGGCUUAUUCAAAUUGUAAUGGGUUUUAAUGCC
rnacentral:lncRNA from 1 species